UCUGUACACUUUGGGAAGCAGACAAGCCCCUGCUUAUAAGGUUAAACAUUUGUCUAUCAGUAUAGAUAUCAGUUCGAAUAAACAAACAACUUCUUUGCCACUAGCCGGAAGCCAGCACUCUGUUGAAAGUCGUAGGGAUCCAAAGAGAAGCAAAGCAUCCACAAACGUUCCAGGAUUAAACAAGGGCUCAAUCUCAGCAGCAUCACACUGACUAAAAAACAAGUCUUUCUGAACUGCCAGAAGAUAAAUUUAGUCAAGGUGUGGAGAAAUCUGGGUCAAGCUAUAAUGGACUUUCCUAUCAAAAAGGCAUUUGAUUGGGUUCCUGGUGUUUCUGGGAUUGCCGGUGGCCAAUUUUGUGGACGUGCCUCAGGUUGCGGAUCUUCAUGGCCUAUUCUCAAGCGCAACUCUUCCCAACUCGUCGAUAUCGAAUGGAACACAAUUUUUCUGGGAGCGGGAAUCAAAACCAUACAAAUAUAUAGUAAGUAAGGGUGAUGAGAGGGAAAAGAGUAAAUCUGUCAGUAGCAGCUGAUCUGUGUCGAUUAUCAUAGCUCUAUUUCACUGUCUCAAGUGUUUUCUAAGAUGAGGCUUGUAGGUGCAAGUUACAAGUCUCAGAGAGCUUGAUAAAAUUGCUUAUUUGGUGAAGAUGUUUGAAUUUCCCUGUUUGGAUAAAAUCCUCCAUAACCAGCUUAAAAUUGUCCGAUUUCAGUCACAA